GCACGCGAAGGGCGCAGCCACUCCGCCAGGACGCCGCCGCCCACCGCCCGCCGCCCACUGCUGGUUACUCCCCCUCCCAACCCUCGCUGCUUGCCCGCGCCCGGCGCUUCCGCCCGCGGCAGCGCCCCCUCGCCCAGCGCCCGGCCUGGCCCCCUCGCCCGCUCCGCUCACCUGGGUGCUUCACCCGGCGCCCGCUCCGGUCGACCGACCGGCGCCCGCUGUGCUGCUCUCCUACAGUCCUGCUCCCCCAGCGCCCGCUCCGGCCUCCCCUGGUUCGGCCUGCUCAGCAGCAAAUGAAUUAGGCUUGAAAUAAAAGAUGAAGAGAUAUUUUCAUCCUUGGCCGCAACGGAAGUGUCUACACCGGGGGUUUUAGCUGGAGGGAAUGAAGGGGUUGAGCAGACUGAAGCAACUCAAGAAAAUGAACCAAAUGGAGAAAUGGAACCACUCGUUUUGACUUCAAACAACCUGUCUUCAAUCUCAACUCAGGAAAGAACAUAUUUGUUAUUCCCAAUUCUUCUCCUGGUCAACUGAGGGAAGGUGAUAUUGAACCUGAUCCUGGUCUUAGGAAACCUAUUGAAAGCUUAGAUCCGGACAUUGGAGAUGUUGCUAGAAGAAUGUAUGUCAAUAUGGGUCCAUGCCAACCAAUUGGUCAUAAAUUUUAAAAAGAAACUAGAGGAAAUUCUUGUAAAAAGAGAAGCUUUCAAGCUACUUGGUUAAAGCAGCAUUCACAUUGGUUGGAAUAUAGUGUUGCUAAAGAGGCAGCAUUUUGUUUCUAUUGGUUUCUUUUUAAGCAACCUAGAGCAGAAAACUAUGAUGUUGAGGCAUUCACAACAAUAGGGUUCAAAAAUUGGAAGGAUGGACAUAGUAUUCUUCCUACACAUGUUGGUAAACAUGAUAGUGUUCACAAUAAAGCUAGACAACAAUAUGUGGCUUUCAAAAAUCAAAGGCAAUCUAUGGUAAAUGUGAUAGAUCGUGGCACCAGAAAGAGCGAAGAAGAAUAUAGAGCACGCCUUAUCAUUAUUUUGGGUGUUAUAAGAUUUCUUCUAUUACAAGCUCUUGCUUUUCGUGGUCAUGAUGAGAGCUCGAUCUGAAGGAAUAGGGGGAAUUUUUUGGAGAUGAUGAGUUGGUACAAGUAGAAGGAUCCAAAAGCUAAGACUUUGCUUGAUAGUGCGGGUGGGGACCAUUUGAUGACUUCACAUGGGUUAGAAUUGCAAUUGUGUCAAGCUUGUGCAGAAGAGACCACCAAAGCAAUUAUUGAUGAUAUUGGAGAUAUAAAUUUUUCUUUACUUGUUGAUGAGUCCAGAGAUGCAUCAAUAAAGGAGCAAAUGUUUAUGGUUUUAACGCUAGUAACUUUGUAUAGUUGUUAUUUUGUUCUUUACUAAUAGCUUGCUCUUUACUCGUGCUUAUUUCUAUUAUGUAGGUAUGUGGAUAAACAUGGGUGUAUGUUUGAGAGAUUUAUUGGGAUUAAGCAUGUUCGUGACACAUGAGCGGCUUCUCUAAAAGUAGCUUUGGAUGGUAUGUUUCUUGAACAUGGGUUGUCUAUGUCUAAAUUGAGAGGGCAAAGGUACGAUGGAGCUUCUAAGAUGAGAGGGAAAUUUCGUGGGCUGCAAAGGUCAAUGCAUUGUUCUAGCCGUGAGUUUGAUUGGGAUCACAUUGCGAAAACUUCAAAAUAUAAG